AAGAGUUAAAACACCAUCUUACCACCCUACAUUCAUUUUUCAAAAUAGAGAGAAGGCUCUCAACUCUCUCAACCCUUCCCCUCCUCCGGUCAUCGGACCGGCCAUCAACCGUCACGCCGGUCACCGGCCACCGACGGCGGCGGCGCCGUCCACGGUGACCGGAAAAUCUUUCGAGGCCCUUUUUCACUUCUCUUCUCAAGUAGAGCCCGGAUUUGGGGUUAAAAUGACCCAAAAACCUUCAAAAAUUAAUGAGAAGCACCCUAGAACUCAAGAAUCCAUUCGGUUUCAGGCCACCGAUCCUCGGCGGUGGCUUCCUCGGUCGUCCACGAUGUUGGAAAACUGAACACCGGCAAACGGUGGUGGAGGCAUGUGCCACUUGGUAGUGGUUGGAAGUGGGUGGUUGAGGCUUGCGGCUAGAGUUUCUAAUUUCCGAAAAUAGAUUGUGGGCUAGGGUUUCUAAGCUUUUGGGCUUCUUUUAGGUUUUAAUUUUUGGGCUGUAAUUGGGUUGGUAGCUUUGUUUGUAAAUGGACUUUUAAUGGGCAUUUUGAUUUUUUUUUUCAAAA